UCGGACCACGCCUUCAGUUGCCUUGUGAUCCGCCGCCUCAUAAUAUGGACGAAUCACAGUCAACUGUUGGCACGGUUCUU
rnacentral:pre_miRNA from 1 species